rnacentral:lncRNA from 1 species
UCAUGCAUGAAUAUAUGAAAAGAUGCCAUUUCCUACACACUUCUAAGCUCACCUUUGAUUUUCAAGGUUGAUGUAUAUGGAACCCUAAACUUUUCUUCUUCAAUUCCUUCAAUAUAUGGCUGUUCCUUUAGCUCUUGGUCUUAGGGUAAAUUUUGGUUAAAGGAAGAAGUUGAUUGAGUGAGAUUUGGCUUGGCUUUGGUGGAAGGAAGACAAAACAAAGCUUUGGUUUUCAAUGGAUGUGAGCUACGGCAAUGAAAUGGUGGAGAAGAC